AUGGACGCAACAAGUGCUGCUGCGGCCGCUGUGGAGAUGGACGCCGGCGCUGCCUUCGCCCCGUCGGUGUGGGGCGACUUCUUCGUUACCUACGUCCCUCCUCCCACAGAGAGAUCGGAGGAGUGGAUCAGGGAGAGAGCAGAGCAGCUGAAGAGGCUAGUGCACAGGAUGUUCUUCUUGGAGGACGGCGAGGCCGUCGUCGGCGUGGCCAAGGCGGUGGCACUGGUUGACACGCUCGAACGGCUCGGCCUCGACAGCCUCUUCCGCGACGACAUCGCAGUGGCCAUUAGCCAUGCCCACCUUGCCGGUGAGGAGUGGCCGGAGUAUGUAGGCUACGAUGAUCUCCACGUCGCCGCCACUCGGUUCCGCCUGCUCAGGCAGCACGGUAUCUGGGUGUCUACAGCUGUGUUGGACAAGUUCAGAGAUGGCACGGGCAGUUUCAGCGCAAGCCUGAGCAGCGACCCAAGAGCUCUGCUGAGCUUGUACCACGCUGCUCACAUGGCGGUACCGGGCGAAGCUACUCUAGACGACGCCAUCGCUUUUGCACGUCGCCACCUCGAGACCAUGAAUGGUGAGCUCCAGUCACCGGUGGCGGAGCAGGUCGCCCGCGCCCUCGACCACCCACUCCCACGGUUCACCAGGCUGCUGGAGACCAUGCGUUACCUCCCCGAGUACGCGCAGGAGGAGACGCACGAUGGCACGCUGUUGGAGCUCGCUAGGCUCAAGUCUCACAUCAUGAGGUCCAUUCACCUCAGGGAGCUCAAGGCCCUGUCCUUGUGGUGGAGGGAUGUUUACAACGCCGUGAAUCUGAAGUACUGUCGGGACCGUAUGGUGGAGGUCUACCUCUGGAGCUGCGGAAUGAUCCCAGAAGAGGAGCACUCACGCGCACGCUUGCUAUUCGCCAAGACGUUUGGAAUCGUGUCAUUUCUGGAUGAUACUUUUGACGUCCACGCCACCAUUGAGGAGUGCCAUAGUCUUAAUGAAGCAUUUCAGAGAUGGGAUGAAAGUGCGGUUUCUGCUCUACCCGAAUACCUGUGCAUGCUAUACAUCAAAACCCUAAGCAACUUCAAGGAAUUUGAGGAUCUUUUGGAGCCACAAGAGAAAUACCGCAUGUCUUACGCUAAAAAGGCGUACCAACUACAGUCAGAAUACUAUAUGCAGGAGGCCCAAUGGACCAAUGACAAGUACGAGCCGAGCUUUGAGGAACACGUAGAGUUGUCUGGCAUGUCCACGGGCCUACCUAUGCUUAACCUCAUGGCCCUCAUGGGUUAUGAUGAAACCAUCGCAACCCAGGAGGUGUUCGAGUGGAUGAGCGUGCCCGUCCCCGACACGGUCCGAGCCGGUGCACUGAUCGGCCGCUUCCUCAAUGAUAUAUCCUCAUACAAGUUGGGGAAGAACAAGAAGGACAUGGGUAGCACCGUGGAGUGCUACAAGCUGGAGAAGGGGUCGACCGGGGAGGAGGCCGUGGCGGCGAUCGCCGCCAUGAACGAGCACAUGUGGAGGGUUCUGAACCAGACGUACAUGGAGGUAGACCGCGCGCUGCUGCCUGCAGCACAGCUGGUGGUGAGCAUAGCCAGGACGUGUGAGGUCAUCUACCUACGCGGCUGGGACGGCUACACCUUUGGCAGCCAUGCCAAGGACCUUGUCAAGGCACUCUUCCUCGACCCUAUCCCCCUUUAG
rnacentral:rRNA from 1 species